CGGAUCUUGGAAGUUGGAACACAGGGUCCAUCAAAGUGGAGGCCCUCUCCGUGGCUUGGCGGGAAAGUGCAUCCAUUUUGUUAGUCUCUGUGUCCCGCUGGACUCACC
ensembl:miRNA Mir291b microRNA 291b